AUAAAAAAAUAUGAUUUUUUUUUGGUGUACUUUGUGUUUAUAGGCAGUAUAUCUUAAGGUUUUAUGGCUAAUUGUAUUUCAGCAGUAAUUUUGUGUAUUCCCGAGUCUCCUAACUGUGUGUACCUGUUAUUGUUGGUGAGUUUGACAUUAUCACCAGGCAUGAGUAGCUUUCCAUUCUUCAGCCAUAUGAUAUGAGGUUCAGGAACACCCUGAGCCACACACGUGAACACUGCACUGCCCCCUGCUGCCUUCGACACCGACUGCGGCCACUGCAGGAACUCUGGAGGAGCUGAGACAAGCACAGGCUGGGACGAGAACAACUGCCCUCGUAAUGCUAUGGAAACAGUGGGGGAGGAUCAAGAAGUACCAUCACCCAUCCUCAUUUUAGGACUGCUUCAUCACCUGUCUGUCAGAGGAGACUCCGCCCCCUCCACUGGAUCUCUACUAAGAGCUUCCUAGGCCAAUGUCAAAGAUCCUGGCUCAGCAUCUGUCCCAACCUUCACGGGUGUGUGAAAGUGCAGACCUCACUUCCACAAUGAGCUGAGAGUCUGGAGGACAACAACCUUUCAUAAAUAGACCUGAACUUGACUAGGAGACUUUUACCUUUGUGACAGGUAGACAGACAUACAGAAGUUAACAGGACUAAAAUAUCCAUAAUCCCCUUUCUGCUUCUUCUACUGAAUUUCUAUACUUGCUCAUCAAGUAAAAUAUCAAUUCAUAAUACAUAAACUAAAUAAAUACAAUGUUACAAUUCGUUGUUCAUUGUUAAUGGUAAGACAUUGAACCUUAUUGUAAAGCAUUUUUGAGCAAUUCCUUGGCAUGGAAUUUCAUUUCUCUUUCUCGUUAAUCUAAAUUUCAAUUUGCAUCACUGAUCUGACUUCACGAGGCUUUUGGAAAGGUUUUUUGGAAAGGUUUCAUCUAACUGAAGCUUUACCUAUAGCAUAAGUUAGUCAGAUGACGCGGGUAGGUUUAGGUCUGGGGUAGCCUAGGGUUAGGAUUAGAUAGCGUCAUCUAACUCCAGGGUACCCUAAAAUGUCGGAUGAUGACGUAUGGUCAAAAGCGUCAGUUAGAUGACUUCUUGGGUUGAGAAGGGGCUGGAAAUAACCUAACCUAAUCUCUUUGUUCCCGUUUUACACAAAAAAAGUGGAUCAAUAAAUGAAUCAAUACAGUCAAGAUUACCUCCCCCAAAUGGCUUCACUGCCAAUUCUGUUGUAAAAGACUGAUAGGGGUGACUAUUGAUUGAUCAGGCUUAAGAUGGACAUUUGGGUCACAGAUAGAGAAAGUGCACCUGGGUGCAAUUCCAACAACAAUUUAACAAAUGAACAGAUGCAUAAGGACAAGAGUACAAGAGGAUAAUCUACAUUAUCUCAAGAGCACAUAUUCAGAGCUUUGAUUAUGAUUUUCUGUCUGUCUGUCUGUGUAAGAUGUUAAAAUACAUGAUUAUACUUAUGUUCAGAUGUAUAAGAAGCAAAGAUGUUCACAGCUACUGACUGUGUGGUAUUAAA